GGAACGGCAGCGCCCGGGCUGAGGAAAAAGCUUAAAAGUCGUGCCUCGGCCGCUCGGACGCUGCCCUGAAAAGGAUGGGAGAGAAAUUGGCACUUGAGAAGCAUGGCUUUGCUGAGAAAAACAUCUCCUCUGACUGGCAUUAGGAGUACUUUACUGACAGGAAAUUCUUUUGUGGACGUUUGGACAUGACGAUAUAAACAGGCUCAUCACUGCCAGAAGAGAGCUGCUGGAGGAAGCUGCUGAGCUGCCAUCCUGCUCCAAACCUCCAUUCAUGCCCUGGGCUGUCCCCUGCCUUCUGUUGGCUUGAGCAUCUGGGGGAAACCUAGUUCAGGGAGCCAGAACAUGCUGUUGUUGAUCUGGCCCACUCUGUUGAACUGGCCCACUGGCUUUAUUAACUCAGUUUUUCUGGACAACUCAGCUCUCUGCUCUGGUCCCAUGAAAGCCUCCAGGGAGCAGAGACUAUUGAGUGGGAAGGAAUGACUUGGGCAUACACAAGACUAAAUUUGUUAGCUGUAGAGUGGUCUCAAAGGAUGCGGAGGAGAGAUAAAAGAAAAAAACUAUUUCCAAGAAAUCCAGUUCCAAGGAAUCAGUGUGUCAUCGGUUCGCCCUUCAUGAAUUAGAGAAUUCACGUGGGAGACAGCAAUGGUGAACAAGUGCUUCUCUUGUGUGUAAAGCUUCAAGCAAAGCUCACACCUCAACAGACAUCAGAACCCGACCACAAGACACAAUUCCCCGCAGACCAGGCUGCACUGGCUCUGCUGUUCACAGACCUACUCAUUUCUUUUUACUCUUUGAUAAGAUCUGGUGGUUCACUGCUGUCUAACCUCUGUGCAGUAGAUGAGUGAAAAAGAACCAGGUGAUCAGAGUAUUUUUUGCUCUUGCAUAAUGAAGCAUGGAACUUCUGCAGAAGUGUCAGGACUGGUAAGCCUACUGAUCAUGCUGCGCCCCUGCAGUUUAGGAAAGUCCUGAUAGGCUUUGUUUUCACCUCUUUCUAACCUGUCUGUAUCAGAUAUGCCAUGCUAGUUCCCCUGCUUCCUUUUGAAAAGAAAAUGAGAUCUUUAUGAGAGGAAAACCAUGAAGGAAGGAAACAAUCAAUAUUAUGUAGGGUUGCCUUGGUGGUAUUUGGUCAGAUCUAAUGAAAAUGACUAUUUUUUCACCAGUUUUUGUGGGAGACAAUUCCACAAGGAACUGUGCAUCCUGCUGUAAAGAGAUUUUCCUGCAAAUUUCUUUCCUUUCUUGGAUGUAUAUAUCUGCACUACAUAAAGGUCUCAAUCAUUAGAAAGGGUCUUCUUUUCAAAAAUACACUUAACAUCUCCUAUCUUUUCUCAUAAAUUAAUCCCUUCAAGUGACACAUCCUUUUUCUUGCAGUUUAAUCCAGUAACAGAAUGUGGUUUCAGUGAGCAGAGAGGGGAAUUAUUUCAAUGACAUGUCUGUGCCCUACGGCAAAAGUUUGAUUUGGUCCUUUCUUGUGACUCUGUUCUUGAAAAAUCAUGUUUAACAUUUUGUCCAAAAAUGGUAGGAUCCAUGGUAAUUUUUGGGAAGACAUGGUGACUAAUUUCUGAGUUUUUGUUCAUCCAAGAUUAAAUUUUCAAAAAUAAUUGA